GACGAACGCUGGCGGCGUGCUUAACACAUGCAAGUCGAACGGAAAGGCCCCUUUGGGGGUACUCGAGUGGCGAACGGGUGCGUAACACGUGAGUAACCUGCCCUUGCCUUCGGGAUAACUUCAGGAAACUGGGGCUAAUACCGGAUAGGAAUCCUUGCUGCAUCGUGGGGGUUGGAAAGCUUCGGCGGUUUUGGAUGGACUCGCGGCUUAUCAGCUUGUUGGUGGGGUAGUGGCUUACCAAGGCUUUGACGGGUAGCCGGCCUGAGAGGGCGACCAGCCACAUUGGGACUGAGGUACGGACCAGACUCCUACGGGAGGCAGCAGUGGGGAAUAUUGCACAAUGGGCGGGAGUCUGAUGCGGCAACGCCGCGUGCGGGAUGCCGGCCUUCGGGUUGUGAACCGCUUUCAGCAGGGGCGAAGCUUUUGUGACGGUACCUGCAGAAGAAGCACCGGCUAACUACGUG
rnacentral:rRNA from 1 species